rnacentral:rRNA from 1 species
UACGUAGGGGGCAAGCGUUGUCCGGAUUUAUUGGGCGUAAAGAGCGUGUAGGCGGUUAGGUAGGUCCGUUGUGAAAACUCGAGGCUCAACCUCGAGACGCCGAUGGAAACCAUCUGGCUAGAGUCCGGAAGAGGAGAUUGGAAUUCCUGGUGUAGCGGUGGAAUGCGCAGAUAUCAGGAGGAACACCGAUGGCGAAGGCAGAUCUCUGGGCCGUAACUGACGCUGAGGAGCGAAAGCGUGGGGAGCGAACAGG